rnacentral:rRNA from 1 species
UGCCCUUGGGUCCGGCAUAACCCCGGGAAACUGGGGAUAAUUCCGGAUAACGCACAUAUGCUGGAAUGCUUUAUGCGUCAAAUGGAUUCGUCUGCCCAAGGAUGGGUCUGCGGCCUAUCAGGUAGUAGUGGGUGUAAUGUACCUACUAGCCGACGACGGGUACGGGUUGUGAGAGCAAGAGCCCGGAGAUGGAUUCUGAGACAUGAAUCCAGGCCCUACGGGGCGCAGCAGGCGCGAAAACUUUACAAUGCGGGAAACCGUGAUAAGGGGACACCGAGUGCCAGCAUCAUAUGCUGGCUGUCCGGGUGUGUAAAAUACACCUGUUAGCAAGGGCCGGGCAAGACCGGUGCCAGCCGCCGCGGUAACACCGGCGGCCCGAGUGGUGAUCGUGAUUAUUGGGUCUAAAGGGUCCGUAGCCGGUUUGGUCAGUCCUCCGGGAAAUCUGACGGCUUAACCGUUAGGCUUUCGGAGGAUACUGCCAGGCUUGGAACCGGGAGAGGUAAGAGGUACUACAGGGGUAGGAGUGAAAUCUUGUAAUCCCUGUGGGACCAC